GGUCUGGGUGCCUAGAGUGGUCCUUUAAUCACAGAAAACGCAAUUGAGACAUGAAAAUACAAGGAAGUGCAGAUCCCAUCAACUAAAUUUAUGCCAAUCAAGACAGGCAAUGGACACCGCCAUUGGAAUUACACCACAGGCAGUUAACCUAAAUAUCCCUGUAUGUGUAGCGUUUCAUACGGAAACAUUGCACACACAGGUUCCUUGCACCAUGACCACUUUAGAUUGCUGAAGUGAUCACGGUGCUUGGAGUAACCCUUUAAUGUUGACU